UUAUACCUAUUCGAAGGGAUAGGGUCGGUUCGGCCGGGUUUCACACAGGUGUUGCAUGGCUGUCGUCAGCUCGUGUCGUGAGAUGUUGGGUUAAGUCCCGCAACGAGCGCAACCCUCAUCCUUAGUUACCAUCAGGUAAUGCUGGGGACUUUAAGGAGACUGCCAGUGAUAAACUGGAGGAAGGUGGGGAUGAUGUCAAGUCAUCAUGGCCCUUAUGGAGUGGGCUACACACGUGCUACAAUGGUGGCUACAAUGGGCUGCAAAGUCGCGAGGCUAAGCCAAUCCCUUAAAAGCCAUCUCAGUUCGGAUUGUACUCUGCAACUCGAGUGCAUGAAGUUGGAAUCGCUAGUAAUCGUGGAUCA
rnacentral:rRNA from 1 species